CCUAUAAAUAUCAAAUAAGCAUGUUUUGUGUUCAAGGUGUUACCGUCAUUGUACGAAAUAAGUGUUUACUCCAGAGGUGUUCCGUUAGGAACACAAAAAGGCUAUGGGAGAGAAGUAUUCUGCUUUUCCAAUGGUAAAAUUUGCUUCUACACCACUACCAAGAUAUUUAGAGGCAAAUAUGAAUUUUGCAUGUAUGCUAAUGCGGGGGUUCGCCUCACAUUGAGAUGUAUCCUGCGAGACGUUGUACACUGAGAUCUCUAUACUCCAUUAUAAAGAAUUAAUACUUUCAUCCAUUGAUUAUCUCGUUCAUAAUACAGUUUAUGAAAGUCAGGAGCUUCUGGUAGAGGUAGAAGAAAAAAUUAAAUAAACAGUUCAAAUGCUCAUUCACGUAAGCAUGCAAUUCUGAGGAUAUACAACUUUGUAGAUUUAUCUUAGCGAAAUAAAAUCUCAGUACUUCAGCGAUUCUCUUAUCGCUGACCAAACCAUUCAAUA
rnacentral:lncRNA from 1 species